rnacentral:tRNA from 1 species
UAAAUGAAAGCCAAAAAGAGGUGCCUAACUGUUAAUUAGGAGAUUGUAAGAGUGAAUUUUACUCAUUUAG